GUAGAGAGUUGCUUCUCAUGUUUUGUGAAUAGCCGUCACAUGAGGAAUAAAAGCAUUUAACAACUUGGACUAAUUCUAUAUUUGUUCCUUCCAAAUAAGGAAAAAAAGGAUGUAAAAGAAUAUAUUUUUCUUCUAAGUUGAUGAAUCUCCUUUAUUGAUCAAUAUGUGAUAUUCCAACUCCUCAUCACUAUUGAAAUCCAGAUGAUAUUGCGAUUAAUUCAUUUUUGCCUAAACUCAACUAUUUAAACAAAACUAGAUCUUCAUUCUUUAUUUGUUUUUUUCCUUUUUACUAUUUUAACUGAGUAAAUAUCAUUUCUUAAUACAUUUGGUUAAUUUUGGGGUUUCACUUGCACGCAAUAGCCUACACCGAAGGAGACAAGUACUAUGGGGCAAAAGCAAUUAUUAAUGUUUGGGAACCUAAAAUACAGCAGCAUCAUAAUGAGUUCAAUUUGUCCCAAAUUUGGUUACUGGGUGGUUCAUUUGGUGAAGAUCUCAAUAGCAUUAAAGCUGGUUGGUACGUAUAUUUUUCUCCAAAUUACUUUGUCGAUCAUAAUUUGUUGCAUUCAUCUAACGGAUUAGAAUGCAUGUUAUUUCAAGUUAGCCUUGAUCUCUACAGGGAUAACAACACAACCAUUUUUGAAUACAUACCUAUAGACAAUUUAAAAAAGAAUGCCAGCUCAUAUUAAAUAGAAGUUAAUUAUAAGUACAAAAACUCAAAGAAAGCAUUUAAUGGACGUUCUUAAUAGUUAGUCUUGUGUUUUGGAACAUGCUUAUAUAUGUGACAAUUAUGCUUCUCUUCCAAUCCAAUUUAGCACAUCGAGUAAAAGCUUCAAUUGGCACCCGAUGUUGUAUGUCUCUAAUAACUGGAGCUAAUUGGUUAUAUGUAGAGGAAAUUUUACUAUUAGUUCAUCUCAAGCAUAAAUAAAAUAGUUAAUCCAUAAGCAAGCUGGAGUAUAGUAUGAAUCCUACUAUAAAUUUCUCUGUCAAAAUGAUUUUUCUUAUAUUUGUAGUUUUUUUCAUGGGACAAGCUUUGAGAAAUCAUUUGGCAAUGAUGAGAGAAGAGAAAGAAAAUCCCAUUUUGAGAAUUCUUAAAAUGAAAGAACGACGAGAAUCGAUUCCCUAAAAAAGAAAGCACUGAACGUGUCUUCAAAGUCAAGCAUUCUCUCAAGAAGAGCAGCAGAAGUAAGAGUGGUGUUAAUGGCAACUUCGUUUCAUUUGAGGAUAUUCGGGAUGCUGAUGAGCUGCAAGCUAUUAAGGCAUUUCGGCGAGCCUUGAUGCUAAUUGCCAAACAAGUUUGAUGAUUAUCAUAUGAUGUUGAGGUUAUUAUACAACACUUUUGCUACUUUUAGUCAAAUGUUCGCAUGUACGGAUGGAAAUAUAAAUUGUAUCCUAGUUUAACAUUUAGAUGUCCUAAUUUUAUCCUCGUUACUAUGGAGGUAACUAGACAUCCCUUCCUCCUUUAGUAGGACAAUUUAUGAUUUUGCUGCAUUACUUUAUAGUUUUUCCUAUAUUGCAGUCGGUGGUUAAGAUUUGAAGGAUUGCAUUUAAUAGUCUUUCCAGAUAAGUUACUUUUCUAUUUCUUGCAAACAUUUUAGUAGAUGGUUGGAAAAGUAUGCAACUAUUCGAACUUUUGUCGAUAAUUAUCCUGAAGUAACAUUUCGGUCUUUUAUUUGAUAAGAGAUAUUAGGUUUUGUGUAGUCUUGGUAGUGUAAUAUAUUGUGUCAUCCAAAUGUUGCAGACAUUUCAUAAAAUAUUUAUCAUCAAGAUGGCCCAGGUAUUAUGCUACUGUAGAAUAUUGUAAAGAGUUUCUUGAUCCUAGGGCCACCACUAAAUACAUGUAUGUUGCUAUUUCUUCCUUUUUUCCAUCUGGAAACAUUAUUUUUCUCACUUAAAUGGCUGACUUUAAUUACUCGGUCUAUCUUUUUUGGAAUAUCUCACAUGUUCUUGGAAACAAAUAUAAGAACAAGUUGCUUGAAAUAAAAGAUACCAAGUGCAAAACAAUGGAAACCGUUGUUGCAACUUGUGAACAUUGAAAUUUAUUUCGAGAUUCUGACGCAUAUUUUUGGGUGUGUGUAGUGCUCCGAAUUCUUUGGUGGAACAUAUAUCUUUGCAGACCAAGGGGUUUGCCUUCGGUCAGGUAAACGACCAAGGAAAAUUCCCCGAGAUACAAAAGGUCCUUCCUAACAUGGGAGCUAUUAAAUUGAUCUACAAAGAUAAUAUAUAAAUACUUGUGUUAUAAUUUUGAUCAUGUUAAAAAUAAUAAAUGGCUCGAAAUCAUGUUGCAGAUAGUGCUUGAUGGUAAAGCACAACUGCCAGGAAGGUGGUUGAAAAUCUUAACAACAACGGAAAGAUAGUUUAUGCUAAGCCCCACUACUUGAUUGUAUAGACUAUGUCUGUUGUGCAUAUGAUUAGGCACAACUACACAAUAUUUAUGUUUUAUGUGAGAUUUUAUUUUUAUUUGGUCGUUGAAGCAGGUAAAAGGCAGUGACAUCUCAACUGUUGAAUUUGGUUCUGAAGAUGAAGAUAUUUCUUCACCAAAAGCUAUUAGGAGUUACUCGCACCUUUGAUUGACUCAUGUUCGUGAGGAGGUAUGGUCAAGCCUGACAAUUUCAAGAUUAGAUAUUUAAUUAUUUGCUAUUGAAAAUAAUGUUUUCUAUAAGUUUAAUUGAAACCUCCCUUAUUUAGUCUUGAGUCUGGUGGUAGCUUGUGCAAAUAUUUAAUUUGGUGCUCGUAGGUCAGUUAGUAUUUGCUUAAUUGCAACACAAGUGCAAAAUUAUCAAUUGCUUGAUAUCAUCUCUUUGAUUGGUUUAAAAGCAUCUAUAUAUACCCUAAAAAGGUGUCCAGUUUCAUGGAAUUCAAAUUUAGAUAAAUUUUUAUAGGUCGGGUUGUGCAAUCUUUUGCUACUAAAAAAUCAAGUAAAGUGACAUUAUUCAAGAGUUCAUUAGUUAUUUGAUAAUUAUUAUUUAUAAUGUCUAUCAUUUUAUUUAUGAUAUAAGGUGCAAAUUCUUCAUGAAAUAUAACUAAGCACACAAUUUCUUGUAAGAAAUAUUUUUCCUAUAAAACUAAUUUUCCUUACUUAAGAAAGGGAUAUCUUUACCAUAUAGAGUGUGAACACAGCAUAGAAAAGUGUUGACACUUUCUCAAUCCCUCACAAAAAUUAAUGUGGAGGAUCAACCUUUCUCUUUUGAUUAUCUCAGGUUAAAGCUCAUGGAAACUCUAGCUUGGUAAAUUAUCACGAUAUGAUGAGUAUGUUCCUAUGGUUGACAAAGUUGUUGAUUCUGGAUGGAAAAAGCAAACAUCACUUUCAAAACCUUAUGUUGUUAAAGGUUAGUUGCUUUAGAAGUUCCACUUUUGUAGUUGUCUCCAUACAUAAUAUUUGAAUCAGCCUACGAUCUCCUCAUGCUUAUUUAUUCAUCUAAUACUUGCUUCGAAGACCUAGGGGGUCUCCUUUUCUUCAGUUGAACCCAUCUUUCUAUCAUUGCAAAUGUCGCCUUAGGUGCUCAUUUUUAUUCUUAUAACUCUCAUCAUAUGCAGAUCGUGUUUAGAGGUUAUCUAUGAUUAACUUAUGAUUUUUCUUUUGUUGAUAGCUAUGCCUUAAUAACAUUUUGUUAUAUCCUGAUAUUAAAUGACUGCUAUAUUGGAGAUAUAAGAUUAGCUAUGUCUAAAUAAGAUUACAAUGACACUAGAUUAGUAACUAUUUUUUGAUUGCAUAGUAUAUGAUUUUUCCUUUCUUUGAUUUUUAUAUCUCCAGGUAUAAGAUAAGAGAGAAGGAAAAAAUUGUUCAGGCAUAUUCUUCUUAGGAUCUUGAAGAAAUUUUUGUAAGUUUAUUUGUAUUACUUUGAUCCUAUAUCAAUUAUUUAUAGAAAUUAUUCUCAAAAUAAACACUCCAUUAUUUUACCAGAUCCAUUUUAUGUUACUAUAAUAAUUUUCAUAUUCUAAAUGUGUUGGCUACCAAAUAUCUUGAUUAGGAUUGAGGUAAGAUUGGUGUAAUAUAGAAUCUAUGUACCAUAAUUAAUUUUAUUAAUAUUCUAGGUAAGCCACUUUCUAAUUUCAAAUUCUACACUAUGUUUUUCAGAGCUCCGGUAGAAUAAGAGGAUGCUUGAUAAACCCAUCCGAGAAAUUGGAAGGAAAAAGACUAUUUACAAGCACAAGGAAAGAAACUGAUUGUGGAGAUAAAAAAAAAUGUAAAGCAAGGGCAGAUGGUAAGUUAUUCUCUAUAGAUAAUUUCAUUUCAGUUUCUUAGACUUUAUGACUCUCUUUUCUCCCAUAGGCCCCAUCUACUUUAUUGCCCAGGUUGCUCCCAUAAAGACAUUUUGGAAUUUUUUUUUUUUUUUUUUUAUCAGAUUGAUUUUAAAGAUAGAUUCAUUAAUGAUAAUUUAGUGAAUUUUAAUCUUCAUUAUAUGAACCAUCUAGAAGAAACAAGCUGUCCAAAUUUAAAGCUCAAAUAACAGAAGUGAAAGGGAUAAUGAUGGACAAUAUUGAGAAAGUAUAACAAGAGGCAUCAAAGCCCACGCACAAGAAGUCGAUACAGGAGUCGUGAAAGAGACCUCCCUACAAGCUUUUUGGUCUGCAAACGUCGGCAUGAUUGCAAGUCUAUUUUCAUGUUUCUUAAAUGAAAAUUCAAUUGCUAUUAUUUCUUGUAGUUGUUCAACCAGCUUCAAGCUACUUUCUUGUUAUUGAAAUUACUUUAAAAGCAUCGAUAUCUUCUUCCCAAUUUUUUGAUUUCACUAUCACGCCUUGGAGAUAUAUCUUCCAUAUUAUAAACAUUUUCUUUUCUACAGAAAGCAUUAUUUCCUACCUUUGGCAUUUGGUUACUAUUUUAGAUGUAUUGAUCAUCUGAGUAUAUAUACGAACCUAAUCUAUCCAUAAAUUAUUUUACAUGCCAUACUGGUUGGAUGCACAAAGUUACUUCAUUAGGCAUACGCUUAUUUUGAUAGUGUGUGUAUCCAAUUCCAUGUUCAUAUUAGUGUGAUUUUUUAUAUGUAUCAACUUCCAUGACUAAAAUAUGUACCUUCAUUUGGACAUGAAAACCUCAUCCCUAAAAGAAUCUCAUACAGACACAAUGACAUUUAGGAAUACGUUAUUUAGAGUGAACUGAGCCACAAAAUUUAUUUACCAAGUGUGUUUCUAAAAACUAAAGAUUAGUAAGUGCCUAAGAUUUAGGUGAAAAUUUAUGGAACUUUCAAAAUAAUCCCAAUAAUAAUUGACACGCUAACAUUACCUUAAAAAUAAUACGGCCCAUGCAUUGCACGG
rnacentral:lncRNA from 1 species